rnacentral:lncRNA from 10 species
AGGUUGCAGUGAGCUGAGAUUGUGCCAUUGUACUCCAGCCUGGGUGAUAAGAGUGAGACUCCAUCUCAAAAAAAAAAAAGAAAGAAAGAAUAAAAACAAACACUAUUUCAGCUAGGUGAUCAAGGUCAACAUCAGCACUCAUAAAUCAUGUUGAUAGUACAUACCCUUGAUAUGAUAUCAUGAAAGUGACACCUUUAUCUCUGUGAUCUUCCUUCCCAAGUCUCUUAACUCCAGUCUACUUGUGAGAAAACCAUUAGAUAAAUCUCACUAGAGGGCCAUCCUACAAAAUUCUCUGCUAGUACUCUUCAAAACUCAGAAGGUCAUCAAAAACAAGGAAAGUCUGAAAAAUUGUCACAACCAAGAGAAGCCUAAGGAGAUACGACAGCAAAAUGUAAGGUAUUAUCUUAAACAGGAUCUGGGGACAGAAAAAGGCCUUUAGGUAAAAACUAAGGAAAUAUGAAUAAAUUAUGGACUUUAGUUAAUAAUGUGUCAACCUG